rnacentral:rRNA from 1 species
GAAGCGGUAACAGCUCAAAUUUGAAAUCUGGGUCUCUUAGGCUCCGAGUUGUAAUUUGUAGAAGAUGCUUUGGGUGCGGCCCCGGUCUAAGUUCCUUGGAACAGGACGUCAUAGAGGGUGAGAAUCCCGUAUGUGAUCGGUGGCUUGCGCCCGUGUAAAGCUCUUUCGACGAGUCGGGUUGUUUGGGAAUGCAGCUCUAAAUGGGUGGUAAAUUUCAUCUAAAGCUAAAUAUUGGCCAGAGACCGAUAGCGCACAAGUAGAGUGAUCGAAAGAUGAAAAGCACUUUGGAAAGAGAGUUAAACAGUACGUGAAAUUGUUGAAAGGGAAGCGCUUGCAACCAGACUUGCGCGAGGUUGAUCAUCCGGGGUUCUCCCCGGUGCACUCGGCCUCGCUCAGGCCAGCAUCGGUUUCGGUGGUUGGAUAAAGGCCUUGGGAAUGUAGCUCCUCUCGGGGAGUGUUAUAGCCCUCGGUGCAAUGCAGCCUACCGGGACCGAGGACCGCGCUUCGGCUAGGAUGCUGGCGUAAUGGUUGUAAGCGACCCGUCUUGAAACACGGACCAAGGAGUCUAACAUCUAUGCGAGUGUUUGGGUGUCAAACCCAUGCGCGUAAUGAAAGUGAACGGAGGUGAGAACCCUUAAGGGUGCAUCAUCGACCGAUCCUGAUGUCUUCGGAUGGAUUUGAGUAAGAGCAUAGCUGUUGGGACCCGAAAGAUGGUGAACUAUGCCUGAAUAGGGUGAAGCCAGAGGAAACUCUGGUGGAGGCUCGCAGCGGUUCUGACGUGCAAAUCGAUCGUCAAAUUUGGGUAUAGGGGCGAAAGACUAAUCGAACCAUCUAGU